AGCCUGAUGCAGCGACGCCGCGUGAGGGAUGACGGCCUUCGGGUUGUAAACCUCUUUCAGUAGGGAAGAAGCGAGAGUGACGGUACCUGCAGAAGAAGCGCCGGCUAACUACGUGCCAGCAGCCGCGGUAAUACGUAGGGCGCAAGCGUUGUCCGGAAUUAUUGGGCGUAAAGAGCUCGUAGGCGGUUUGUCGCGUCUGCUGUGAAAGCCCGGGGCUCAACCCCGGGUCUGCAGUGGGUACGGGCAGACUAGAGUGCAGUAGGGGAGACUGGAAUUCCUGGUGUAGCGGUGAAAUGCGCAGAUAUCAGGAGGAACACCGAUGGCGAAGGCAGGUCUCUGGGCUGUUACUGACGCUGAGGAGCGAAAGCAUGGGGAGCGAACAGGAUUAGAUACCCUGGUAGUCCAUGCCGUAAACGUUGGGCACUAGGUGUGGGGGACAUUCCACGUUUUCCGCGCCGUAGCUAACGCAUUAAGUGCCCCGCCUGG
rnacentral:rRNA from 1 species